rnacentral:pre_miRNA from 1 species
AAUAAACCAAUCUUUUAAUUUUUACCUACAAUGUUUGACUAUUCGUCUUAUUAAAAAAAUUUAUGAUUAACAUUUUUGUUUUUAUUAGAUGAUAAAUCAUGAAUAGUUCUUUACAUGUGAGUAAUGUUUUUUUAAUUUCUUAAAAAAAUUUCAAAUAAAAUGGAUGAUCAAACGCUAAACACGAAAACCGAAAGUUUGUCUUAUU